rnacentral:tRNA from 1 species
GCCGAUGUAGCUCAGUGGUAGAGUACUUCCUUGGUAAGGAAGGGGUCACGAGUUCAAUUCUCGUCAUCGGCU